GUGAACGCUGGCGGUAGACCUAACACAUGCAAGUCGAACGGCAGCACAGUAAGAGCUUGCUCUUACGGGUGGCGAGUGGCGGACGGGUGAGGAAUACAUCGGAAUCUACUUUUUCGUGGGGGAUAACGUAGGGAAACUUACGCUAAUACCGCAUACGACCUACGGGUGAAAGCAGGGGAUCUUCGGACCUUGCGCGAUUGAAUGAGCCGAUGUCGGAUUAGCUAGUUGGCGGGGUAAAGGCCCACCAAGGCGACGAUCCGCAGCUGGUCUGAGAGGAUGAUCAGCCACACUGGAACUGAGACACGGUCCAGACUCCUACGGGAGGCAGCAGUGGGGAAUAUUGGACAAUGGGCGCAAGCCUGAUCCAGCCAUACCGCGUGGGUGAAGAAGGCCUUCGGGUUGUAAAGCCCUUUUGUUGGGAAAGAAAAGCAGCAGGUUAAUACCCCGCUGUUCUGACGGUACCCAAAGAAUAAGCACCGGCUAACUUCGUG
rnacentral:rRNA from 1 species